UGACAAGAGAAUAACUUCAUAAAUAAAUUUACAAUUUACCGCCUUCCUCAGCCAUCUUAUC
rnacentral:tRNA from 1 species